rnacentral:misc_RNA from 1 species
AUAAAAUAUAUAAGAAUUUUACAAAUAAAUACGACCACUUGAUAUAUUUUAUCGAAUAAAAAUAUAUAGUACAUAGUAUAGAAAAAUAGACGGAGUGAUUUUUAAAUUUUUCUUCUUUUUCGUUUUUUUUUUUUUCAUCUAAUAUUAUCAGGGACACGUAAAUAGAUUUAUAUCGAAUAUAGUUUUGAAUAUUUUUUUUUUACCAAGUAUCAUAUCAUUAUUUAAAAUAUUCAUAUGCGUAUAGUUUCAGUGGUAGUAGUAGUAGUAGUAGUAGUAGUAGUAGUAGUAGUAGUAGUAGUAGUAGUGGAAAAAGUAGUAGUAGUAGUAGUAGUAGUAGUAGUAGUAGUAGUAGCAGCAACAUCAGCAACACCAGCAGCAGCGGUAGUAGCACAUCGAGGAGCAAUUUUUUUUCAAAUUUCUCUUAGUCUUUCUAAUUUCGUUUUCUCUCUUCUUCCGUCGCGACAAUACCAAUGUGCACGUAAUAUUCAUUACUCUCUCUUUUUUCAUUUACUUUUUUAUCGUUCUUUUUUUCUAUUUUUUCAUUUUUUCUCUGCCGAUUUCGUCGAACUAUAGUUCACAUAGUAUUAUAAUUUUUGUUGGAUAAAAAACAAAUUUCAUAAUUACGAUAAUCAUCGGGUAUGUUACGUGUAUAUUACACUGAUCACGUAAUAUACAUGUAAAAUACGUCAUACGUGAUAUAUACACGAUUACACACACGUAUAAUAUAUCAAUGUACAUAUGUAUACAUUAUACGGUACGUAGAUCGUGUAUAUAAUUUUUAGAUUUUCA